rnacentral:rRNA from 1 species
UACGUAGGGGGCAAGCGUUGUCCGGAAUUAUUGGGCGUAAAGAGCGUGUAGGCGGCCUGACAAGUCUGCUGUGAAAACUCGAGGCUCAACCUCGAGAUGUCGGCGGAAACUGUCUGGCUAGAGUCCGGAAGAGGAGAGUGGAAUUCCUGGUGUAGCGGUGAAAUGCGCAGAUAUCAGGAAGAACACCUAUGGCGAAGGCAGCUCUCUGGGACGGUACUGACGCUGAGACGCGAAAGCGUGGGGAGCGAACAGG